UGGCUCUGCCCAUUCUACUGGGAAUUCUGGAUGUGAGGAGCAGGGCAGAGCAGAAAAUGCCAAUGGGCUCAGGAAAGGGGUUUCUGGAGACAUAUAGUGACUAAAUCCAACAAACUGUCCCCUGCUCCCAGAUCAGCAGAAAUAAAGACAAUUCCAUGGAAAAAAACAAGAUCGAUAAAGGUCUUGGCAUUCAGAAUUCUCUAAUGCAGAAGUGAUUUUUCUUCAACAUUUCUUCUUCAAAAUUCCUGAGGGUAGGGACUAGUUCCUCUGGACCCUCACCAAAAUCAGGAGACUUUCCAACUGGCAGAACACCGUAAGCUCACCAUUAAUGUGAUAGCUAUUAAGAGUGAACAGAGAUGACAGAUAAAGCAAGAUCCCUAAAGAGACUAAAGGAUAUGGAAGCCACAGCUCCUCUAAGUACAGCGAGUACACUCUCAGAGCCUAAAUGGCUCCAUUUACAAAAUAAGGCAGCAUGCUCUGGAAAUCCUGGUCAUCACAUCCCAGGAUUCCUAACCCAAUUACAGUGCUUUAAAAUUUGUUCAAAAUACUCUUCUAUCCAAUUUUUAUAAACUUAAACAGGACAAAUACCAAAUUCUUUUCUGAGAUGAUGAAACUAAUACCAUGGUUAGUGAAGUGAUUUGCCCAAGGCUGCUUAUUUAAUUAGUAGAGGAAGUAAGACCAUUCCAAUCAGUAAGGCCCAGCUUAUGC